CCUACGGGAGGCUGCAGUGAGGAAUAUUGGUCAAUGGGCGCAAGCCUGAACCAGCCAAGUCGCGUGAGGGAAGACGGCCCUACGGGUUGUAAACCUCUUUUGCCGGGGAGCAAGCCUGAGCACGUGUGCCCAGGCGGAGAGUACCCGGAGAAAAAGCAUCGGCUGACCCCGUGCCAGCAGCCGCGGUCAGACGGAGGAUGCGAGCGUUAUCCGGAUUGAUUGGGGUUAAAGGGUGGGCAGGCGGGCUGUUAAGGCGGGGGUAAAAAUUCAGGACUCAACCCGGUCGAGCCGUCGGGACUGGCAGUCGUGAGUGGGCGAGAAGUAAGCGGAAUGCGUGGUGUAGCGGUGAAAUGAAUAGAUAGCACGCAGAACGCCGAUUGCGAAGGCAGCAUACCGGGGCCCGACUGACGCUGAGGCACGAAAGCGUGGGGAUCGAACAGGAUUAGAUACCCUAGUAGUC
rnacentral:rRNA from 1 species